rnacentral:tRNA from 1 species
GUUUAAAUAGAUUAACUCUUAAAUUACUGAAUUGUGGUUUCAGAGAUGCACUAAGUGCUUUAAACC